CCGCGGACGAAGUUCGCCCACGCCCCCCACCAAGGCUAUAGCCCACCCGUUUUUUGGCCAUUUUUCCGCUGGGGGGUCUUGGGACCCCGACCUUCGGGGUCUGAUUUUUGGGCGCGGCUGUGCCCGUGGCCUAUUUUUGGCACACAGAGGCCGCCCGCCAAGUAUGGUGCCAUUCCGAGUCCCGCGGACGAACUUCGCCCACGCCCCCCACCAAGGCUAUAGCCCACCCGUUUUUUGGCCAUUUUUCCGCUGGGGGGUCUUGGGACCCCGACCUUCGGGGGCUGAUUUUUGGGCGCGGCUGUGCCCGUGGUCUAUUUUUGGCACACGGAGGCCGCCCGCCAAGUCAGGGGCCAUUCCGAGUCCCGCGGACGAACUUCGCCCACGCCGCCCACCAAGGCUAUAGCCCACCCGUUUUUUGGCCAUUUUUCCGCUGGGGGGUCUUGGGACCCCGACCUUCGGGGGCUGAUUUUUGUGCGCGGCUGUGCCCGUGGCCUAUUUUUGGCACACAGAGGCCGCCCGCCAAGUAUGGUGCCAUUCCGAGUCCCGCGGACGAACUUCGCCCACGCCCCCCACCAAGGCUAUAGCCCACCCGUUUUUUGGCCAUUUUUCCGCUGGGGGGUCUUGGGACCCCGACCUUCGGGGGCUGAUUUUUGGGCGCGGCUGUGCCCGUGGCCUAUUUUUGGCACACGGAGGCCGCCCGCCAAGUCAGGGGCCAUUCCGAGUCCCGCGGAUGAAGUUCGCCCACGCCCCCCACCAAGGCUAUAGCCCACCCGUUUUUUGGCCAUUUUUCCACUGGGGGGUCUUGGGACCCCGACCUUCGGGGGCUGAUUUUUGUACGCGGCUGUGCCCGUGGCCUAUUUUUGGCACACAGAGGCCGCCCGCCAAGUAUGGUGCCAUUCCGAGUCCCGCGGACGAACUUCGCCCACGCCCCCCACC
rnacentral:lncRNA from 1 species